rnacentral:ribozyme from 1 species
GGAGAGGGGUGCAGUGUUCACAGUGGUUGAUGUGAGGGACGCGUGGGGGGACAGAGCGGUGACGCAUUGGAGCGACAAGCAACCUGAUGUCGGUGUGAGGUUUGCUGAGAUUGAUCGCUGCCGCCCAU